UCUCUUGACUUCCUGGCAGCCCAAGGCUGCCCAGACCGGGACGGAAACUCCGAGGCAACUCCUCACUUGUCGGAGGUCCUGCGUAUGCGACCCAUUUCCGCACAUGCGCGGUCCAUGCCGCAGUGCCCCCUAGACGCCUAGGUAGCUGCGCGGCCCGUCCGGCAGUGUCUGAUGGUAGGGGCAGAUGGUGGAGACAGGGCCUCUCCUCCCUGUGGCUUUUUAUCAUUCAAACGUCUGCAUAGUGACUUGAGAAAGGACAAGCCCCAGUGAACAAAUGCUUAUCAAACCUCUGUUUUUGUAGACACGGAGUCUUGCCAGGUUGUCAAGCUGGUCCUGAACUCCUGACCUCAAGUGAUCCUCCCGCCUCAGUCUCCCAAAGUGCUGGGAUUACAGACAUGAGCCACUGUGCCCUGCCCUAUUUCUUUACAGUUGUCUUUGCCCCUUUGUACUUAAUCCCCUGUAAUAGUUCUUUAUAUUAAAUUUUCCCAAUGGAGAAUAUGG